CACGUAGGGCGCAAGCGUUGUCCGGAAUUAUUGGGCGUAAAGAGCUCGUAGGCGGUCUGUUGCGUCUGCUGUGAAAACCCGGGGCUUAACCCCUGGCUUGCAGUGGAUACGGACAGACUAGAGGUAGGUAGGGGAGAAUGGAAUUCCCGGUGUAGCGGUGAAAUGCGCAGAUAUCGGGAGGAACACCGGUGGCGAAGGCGGUUCUCUGGGC
rnacentral:rRNA from 1 species